rnacentral:rRNA from 1 species
UACGGGGGGAGCAAGCGUUGUUCGGAUUUACAGGGCGUAAAGGGCGCGUAGGCGGUCGUGACAAGUCACUUGUGAAAUCUCCGGGCUUAACUCGGAACGGUCAAGUGAUACUGUCGGACUAGAGUACAGAAGGGGCAACUGGAAUUCUCGGUGUAGCGGUGAAAUGCGUAGAUAUCGAGAGGAACACCUGCGGCGAAGGCGGGUUGCUGGGCUGACACUGACGCUGAGGCGCGAAAGCCAGGGGAGCGAACGGG